GGAUGAGGUGGCAAUCUGACUGUGACAUCUGAUACCCUACUGAUCACUAGGGUUGACUCAGUUGAUCUGGCUACUAGGCGUCCCCUUCCUCUACAUGGUUCCUCUCAAAGUUGCACUUAGAGAAUGAUGUUCUCUAGUAGAACAGGCCUGUUCAAGGGUAUAUGAGUCGCUGUGCUUCCCUGCUAGAACUCCCAAACAAGCUCUCAAUAUAGAUCUGGUUGUAUGCAACAAAAGUCAAAAUAGAUUUAAACUAUCCAGCAGGUUGUCACCCAGGUAGAGGCUGCUUUGG
rnacentral:snRNA from 1 species